rnacentral:snRNA from 1 species
AUACUUCCCUGGCAGUAUAUGAUCACGAAGGUGGUUUUCCCAGGGCGAGGCUUAUCCAUUGCACUCGGGAUGUGCUGACCCCUGAGAUUUCCCCAAAUGUGGGAAACUCGACUGCAUAAUUUGUGGUAGUGGGGGACUGCGUUCACACUCUCCCCUG